rnacentral:rRNA from 1 species
UACAGAGGGUGCGAGCGUUGUCCGGAAUCACUGGGCGUAAAGGGCGCGUAGGUGGCGAGCCAAGUCCAUGGUGAAAGCUCGAUGCUCAACAUCGAGUCGGCCACCGGGAUACUGGUGCGCUUGAGCACUGUAGAGGCUAAUGGAAUUCCGGGUGUAGCGGUGGAAUGCGUAGAGAGUCCGGAAGAACACCGGUGGCGAGGCGGUUAGCUGGG